UACGUAGGGUGCAAGCGUUGUCCGGAAUUAUUGGGCGUAAAGAGCUCGUAGGCGGUUUGUCGCGUCUGCUGUGAAAUCCCGAGGCUCAACCUCGGGCUUGCAGUGGGUACGGGCAGACUAGAGUGCGGUAGGGGAGAUUGGAAUUCCUGGUGUAGCGGUGGAAUGCGCAGAUAUCAGGAGGAACACCGAUGGCGAAGGCAGAGCUCUGGGCCGUAACUGACGCUGAGGAGCGAAAGCAUGGGGAGCGAACAGG
rnacentral:rRNA from 1 species